GACGAACCGAGCGAACGUUGUUCGGAAUCACUGGGCUUAAAGGGCGCGUAGGCGGGCUGUCAAGUCUGGGGUGAAAUCCCGCGGCUCAACCGUGGAACUGCCUCAGAUACUGACGGCCUCGAGGGGGAUAGGGGCGAGCGGAACGGAUGGUGGAGCGGUGAAAUGCGUUGAUAUCAUCCGGAACUCCGGUGGCGAAGGCGGCUCGCUGGAUCUCUUCUGACGCUGAGGCGCGAAAGCUAGGGGAGCAAACAGG
rnacentral:rRNA from 1 species